rnacentral:rRNA from 1 species
ACCGUAGGGGGCAAGCGUUGCCCGGAUUCACUGGGCGUAAAGCGGGUGUAGGCGGUUCUUUAAGUCAGAUGGGAAAUCCUGCGGCUCAACCGCGGAACUGCAUCUGAUACUGGGGAACUUGAGGACGGUAGAGGUCGGUGGAAUCCCCGGUGUACCGGUGAAAUGGGCAGAUAUCGGGGGGAACACCAGUGGCGAAGGCGGCCGACUGGGCCGAUCCUGACGCUGAGACCCGAAAGCCAGGGUAGCGAACCGG